rnacentral:tRNA from 2 species
GACUUAAAAUCCGUCGACUUUAAAACUCGUGAGGGUUCAAGUCCCUCUAUCCCCA